AAUUGGGGAAUAUUGCACAAUGGGGGAAACCCUGAUGCAGCAAUGCCGCGUGAGUGAUGACGGCCUUCGGGUUGUAAAGCUCUGUCUUCAGGGACGAUAAUGACGGUACCUGAGGAGGAAGCCACGGCUAACUACGU
rnacentral:rRNA from 1 species